UCCCAGCCUGCUCUGCACAAGGGAACAGCUCACAUUUGUGAGACUUCAAAAGGCUUUGGAGUGUCUGUGUAUGGAUGUUGUUAUUUCCUGUCAGGGCUAUCCCAAGAAGAUGGGGGCUGGGAGCUGAUUUUUGGAAGAAGAGUUUGGCCUUUAACUAAAUCAGCUGGAGUGAAAACAAAAAGCAUCACCAAAUCAGGCUUCCCUCAUCACCACAGAGCUGAGACAGCCCCAGUUCACCUCUCACUCUGCUCCUGUGUGAAAUUCCUGCUGGGAGAGCAGCCCUUCCCUGCUUGGGAAGCACAUGAGACAGACUCGGUAUCCGAUGUUGCACCUGGGAUACAUCACACUCCUCAAGAACAUCUGCAGGCCACAAGGGGGGUUCAGGAGGAUGUGGAGGAGGCCAUCAAACAACCCCAUCCCACCAAGUUGGACCUGUCUGCGUGGUCUCCUUGGAGAGAGGCUCUCACCCUUGGAGAGCUGGGACCACGUUCAUGGGCCAGGAGCAGCCCUGGAGCAGCCCUGCUGGUUGCAUGGGCAGCACUGGGACUGACAGAAGCUUCCCAGAGUGACAGCCCAAGGCUGCCCCCCGGUCCGGCCAACGUCCCCGUGCAGCAGGUCCAUCCCUGA
rnacentral:lncRNA from 1 species